rnacentral:lncRNA from 1 species
GGUUUUGAAGGAUUUCUCUGGCUGUAGUUGCGGAAGAAAUGACUACUGUGGUCACCUGGCCAAAUUUUAGACUCAUUACGGGGCCAUAAAUCUUGGAGAGCUUGGCUAGUGACCUGUGAGGUUUGGCUCCAAGCUCCAGGAGGUUUCCGAUGACAGGAUAAGGCGUCGGUCCCGGUGGAAGCUUUCUCGAUCCUGCUUUGCAACCUCUUAAAAAGGAAUUUAAAGUUAUGACCAAAACCCAUGUGAAUAAAACCCAUAACAAGCAGCUUAAGAUAUCCAUCUCUCUAGUUGAAACUCUAAGAAACACCAGAGUCAGUGGCCUUUCACCUUCUUUAAAAAAGAAAUUUAUCUCCACUGCAUCUCUUUUGGGCCACAGAUGCUGUCAUCUAAAAGAGUGGUUCAAAAGUCAAAAUUUGUAACAGAAGCUAGCUUAUAGCCGCCUUUAAAUUUACCUCCGUUUUCAACGCAGUGAGUACUGGCUUCUACGACGACGACAAAUGAAUGAAAAGUAGUUUUCUUGUUGCCCUUUUAACGUGCUUGUGCCGAGGUUGCCCUUAAUAGAUUUUUUUUUUAUUAUUAUUCAAUCUAGCACUUCUCUUCAUCUCAAUCCGUUAACCAAGUCCUUUGAGUCAUUUCCUCCGUCACAUCUUCUGCACUUCUGUUGACUGUUUGUUCCAAGUUGAUUUCCGUUUCUCUCGUCCCUGGCUCUCUGCCGACUGCUCUGUCACGGCCACUGUCAAACAGAUUGGGUUGGGCUUGUUUCUUGGCCCAGUUAGCAUUCUCACCACUAUUUCUUUUGAAUUUUAAGUUUUUUGUUUUGUUUUUCAUUUGAAAUCUUAAAUUUGGAAUUUUUUGUUUUCCCAUUCCGACGUAACUGGAACAUAAUAGCAAUUCGUUCAUUCAGAAUGGCAAUUACUUAUUUGAUCAAAUCAUUAAGUUAUAAUAUGAAAUUAUAAUCAAUUGUGUCGCGUUAUAUAUCCACCUAAAACGGAAAAAAAAAAUUUGGUUUUAUAUCUGUAUCGUGCCAUCGUGUUGUGGCUCAUAUUGCUACACUAUUUGUAACUUCAUUGAACUCACGUUCAAAAUGAUAUAUAUAAAGGCGUACAAAAAAAAAAAAAAAAAAGGCGACACAAUUGAUCACUAGCUUUACAUUUUGUGUAUAUGCGAGAUCUUAUUAAAUAUUAAUGUUACGGGGUUACAAUAACCUUAAAAUUUGGACAAGUGAGUUAUUGCCAGUACUUCCCCACUUAAAAGCUGUACAAAUCAAGUUGAUAGUAGCUAAAAGAUAGUUGCUAAAAUUCUGAAUUCACAUUCAAAAUAGAUUUAUUCGAAUAAGAAUAAACAUUGUAGAAGCAUAUGGACUAAGGACAAAGUCCAUGCUACAACCUGGAAAUUCAUUUCAUCAUAGCACAAAAAAAAAAAAAAAUGCUACUAAUUAAAUGGCAAUAGGAAGAGCACGAAGGGGCCGAGCCUUCUGCAAGGUGAGACCAAAUUUCUCUUCCAUAUCUAUGGUCUCUGGAGUAACCCCAUCUUCAAGUUUCCAAUCAAAAGAAUUAAUAAGUGAACCUAACAUCAAAUAUAACAUUCUUAUUGCCAACGGCAAGCCAGGACAUAUUCGUCGUCCGGCACCAAACGGUAUUAGUUCAAAAUUCCGACCUUUGACAUCAAGAUCUAACCCCAAGAACCUCUCUGGAACAAAAGAGUAUGGGUUGUCCCAUAAGCUAGCAUCUCUUCCUAUAGCCCAUGUGUUGACUAAGACUUGUGCACCAUUUGGCACCAUGAAUCCGGCAACUUCUGUAUCUGCUGAGGCUUUACGGGGAAGUAAAAGAGGAGCUGCCGGGUGCAACCUGAAGGUUUCUUUGAGUACUGCUUGUAGAUAAGGUAAGCGGGUGAUGUCUGAUUCCUCAAUUGGAUUGCCUUUGCCAAUCGUUUGUUCUAACUCUAAUCGGACUUUUGAUAAAAUAUCUGGGUUGCGAAGUAGUUCUGUCAUUGCCCAUUCCAAUGUACUCGAAGUAGUAUCAGUCCCCGCAGUAAACAAAACCUGUUAACAAAUUAAAUGACUCAAAACACUAACACUCAACAAGUGUAAUUUGAAUAAGAAAUAAUUAAACAAAACCUGUUAACAAAUUAAAUGAUUCAAAACACUAACACUCAACAAGUGUAAUUUGAAUAAGAAAUAAUUACCAGAAACAAGUGUUUGAUAUCAUUUAUAUCAAUCUCCACGCUUUUGUCUUCACAAAUUUUGAGAAGAGCAUCUAACAUAUCUUUGGAUUCGGUGAAAUCUCGUUCUUGUCUUUGCUUCAAUCGUUGAUCAAUCAAGCGAUCAAAUACAUCGAGCAUCUUGCCAAAAUAAACUGUCAUGCGACGCCUUAUACCUUGCAAGUCAAGAUUCUCAAGCACAGGGAAAAAAUCGGACAAGUUAGGCUUUCCAGCUUCUUCCAUCAUACCCCAAUUUAUUUGCUUAAACUCUCGCGCAGUUUUUGAUGUGGGAUCAGCCAAGUCAAUAGAAAAAAUUGUGUUGGAUAUCAAAUUAAGCGUAGUGUCGAAAGCAGCUUGGCCAAUAUGUAUUGCUGUACCUGCACGGCAGUUUUCUUGGACAUAAGCUAGAAGAUCUUGGAUUUUCUUACGCCGAAGGUGCUGAUUGGCAUCGAGUUGGCGACUAGAGAAAGCAUGUGAGUUGCAUAUUUUUCGAAAAUUUCUCCACAGUGUCGCCACAGGCAGCCAGGGCAUCCCGAAUUCAUGAUGGCCGUGGGCGUAGAUUGCGUCUGGGAUCGUUCGGUUACAGAAAGAUGUGUCUUGAUUUUGAAGGAUUUCUUUGGCCAUGGCCGCAGAAGAAAAGACAACUGUGGUCACCUGGCCAAAUUUUAGACUCAUUAUGGGGCCAUGAAUCUUGGCAAGUUUAGCAAGUGACUUGUGAGGUUUGUCGCCGAGUUCCAGGAGGUUUCCGAUCACCGGAUAAGGCGUCGGUCCCGGUGGAAGCCUUCUGGAUCCAGAUUUGAAUCCUCUUGAAAAAUAAUUUAAAGCGACGACCAAAAUCCACGAGAAUAGAAGCCAUGGUACGCAGCUUACCAUAUCCAUCUUUAAUCUG